rnacentral:rRNA from 1 species
ACACUCCUGCGGGAGGCAGCAGUGGGGAAUAUUGGACAAUGGGCGCAAGCCUGAUCCAGCCAUGCCGCGUGAGUGAUGAAGGCCCUAGGGUUGUAAAGCUCUUUCACUGGUGAAGAUAAUGACGGUAACCGGAGAAGAAGCCCCGACUAACUUCGUGCCAGCAGCCGCGGUAAUACGAAGGGGGCUAGCGUUGUUCGGAUUUACUGGGCGUAAAGCGCACGUAGGCGGACUAUUAAGUCAGGGGUGAAAUCCCGGGGCUCAACCCCGGAACUGCCUUUGAUACUGGUAGUCUUGAGUUCGAGAGAGGUGAGUGGAAUUCCGAGUGUAGAGGUGAAAUUCGUAGAUAUUCGGAGGAACACCAGUGGCGAAGGCGGCUCACUGGCUCGAUACUGACGCUGAGGUGCGAAAGCGUGGGGAGCAAACAGGAUUAGAAACCCUGGUAGUCCCAUGAU